AAAUGCAUGGCCAAAUUUCAUUUAACUUGGUUCAGAAGCAAUACUAUAUUAAAACCAUUUCCUGAUGUGCAAUAUAUAAGAAGACCUAUUUCCCUUGUGCAUAAUUACUUAUAUUUCUAAAGGCCAGCAUAAUGGUGAAUGGGGCAACUUCCGAAAGCAAAUGUCUAUAACGGAAAUGUUUUCAUCCUAAACAUUUGCACUUGGCAAAU
rnacentral:misc_RNA from 1 species